rnacentral:rRNA from 1 species
UACGAAGGGGGCUAGCGUUGUUCGGAAUUACUGGGCGUAAAGCGUGCGCAGGCGGUUUUGUAAGCCAGAUGUGAAAUCCCCGGGCUUAACCUUGGAAUGGCAUUUGGGACUGCAAGGCUAGAGUGCGGCAGAGGGGACUGGAAUUCCUGGUGUAGCAGUGAAAUGCGUAGAUAGCAGGAGGAAUACCGAGGGCGAAGGCAGGUCCCUGGGUUGACACUGACGCUCAUGCACGAAAGCGUGGGGAGCAAACAGG